rnacentral:misc_RNA from 1 species
GAUGAAGAACGUAGCGAAAUGCGAUAAGUAAUGUGAAUUGCAGAAUUCAGUGAAUCAUCGAAUCUUUGAACGCGUCUUGCGCUCCUUGGUAUUCUGAGGAGCAUGCCUGUUUGAGUGUCAUUAAAUUCUCAACUACACUGACUUUGAAUUGGUGUGGCUUGGAUUUGGGGGGAAAAUUGUUGUGGGCUUUUUGUAUAGUCUGCUCCCCUGAAAUUGAUUAGCGGUACCUUUGUGGAACUGUCUACAGGUGUGAUAAUUAUCUACAUCCUAGACAUCUGCUGGAAUGCUGCUUUCUAAACCUUACUUGUAUUGACAAUCUUGACCUCAAAUCAGGUAGGACUACCCGCUGAACUUAAGCAUAUCAAUAAGCGGAGGA